rnacentral:rRNA from 1 species
CCUACGGGAGGCUGCAGUGAGGAAUAUUGGUCAAUGGCCGGGAGGCUGAACCAGCCAAGUCGCGUGAGGGAAGACGGCCCUACGGGUUGUAAACCUCUUUUGUCAGGGAGCAAGGUGCAGGUCGGGACCUGCUGUGCGAGUACCUGAAGAAAAAGCAUCGGCUAACUCCGUGCCAGCAGCCGCGGUAAUACGGAGGAUGCGAGCGUUAUCCGGAUUUAUUGGGUUUAAAGGGUGCGCAGGCGGAGGCACAAGUCAGCGGUAAAAUCGCGGGGCUCAACCCCGCCGCGCCGUUGAAACUGUGUCCCGUGGGGGGGCGAAGGGGAGGCGGAAGGCGUGGUGUAGCGGUGAAAGGCAUAGAUAUCACGCAGAACUCCGAUCGCGAAGGCAGCCUACCGGCGCGAAACUGACGCUCAUGCACGAAAGCGUGGGUAUCGAACAGGAUUAGAUACCCCUGAGUC